rnacentral:rRNA from 1 species
GCUUAAAGAAUAGUUAAUUUUAGGUCUGACCUGCUCAAUGAAAUUUUUUUAAAUAGCCGCAGUAAAUUGACUGUGCUAAGGUAGCAUAAUAAUUAGUCUUUUAAUUGGAGACUGGAAUGAAUGGUUUAACGUAAAGUAGCUGUCUUUAUAAUUUUUAGUUGAAUUUAAUUUUUUAUUUAAAAAGAUAAAUAAAUACUAUUAAGGGACGAGAAGACCCUAUCAAGUUUUAUUUAUUAAAAUUAUACAACAGAGUAUAUCUUUUUUAAAUUUGUUUGGGGCGGAAAAAAUAGAUUAUCUUUAUUUUAAUUUUAAAUAAUUAUUAAUUUAUUAAUGAUCUUUUAUAAAAAUUGUUAGAAUAAAUUACUGUAGGGAUAACAGAGUUAUUUCUUUAAAAAGUUCAUAUUUAUAAAGAAGAUUACUACCUCGAGCGGCAUUAAAAUUUAAAGCUCUAUAAUAAGU